rnacentral:rRNA from 1 species
UGGGGAAUUGUUCACAAUGGGCGCAAGCCUGAUGACGCAACGCCGCGUGGGGGAUGAAGGUCUUCGGAUCGUAAACCCCUGUCGAAUGGGACGAAAGACUCGCGAGUGAAUACUUCGCGAGAGUGACGGUACCGUUAAAGGAAGCCACGGCUAACUCUGUGCCAGCAGCCGCGGUAAUACAGAGGUGGCAAGCGUUGUUCGGAAUUACUGGGCGUAAAGGGCGCGUAGGCGGCCCUCUAAGUCAGACGUGAAAUCCCCGGCUUAACCUGGGAACUGCGUCUGAUACUGGAGGGCUUGAGUAUGGGAGAGGGAUGUAGAAUUCCAGGUGUAGCGGUGAAAUGCGUAGAUAUCUGGAGGAAUACCGGUGGCGAAGGCGGCAUCCUGGACCAUUACUGACGCUGAGGCGCGAAAGCUAGGGGAGCAAACGGGAUUAGAUACCCGUGUAGUCCCUGAGCGGGCUGGCAAGGCGCAU